CCUACGGGAGGCUGCAGUGGGGAAUCUUCCACAAUGGGCGAAAGCCUGAUCCAGCAACGCCGCGUGUGUGAAGAAGGUCUUCGGAUCGUAAAACCCUGUUGUUAGAGAAGAAAGUGCGUGAGUGUCACUGUUCACGUUUCGCCCGUAUCUAACCAGACAGGCCCGGCGAACUACGUGCCAGCCGCCGAGGUACUACGUAGGUGGCAAGCGUUAUCCGGAUUUCUUGGGCGUAAAGGGACCGCAGGCGGUCGUUUAAGUAUGAUGUGAAAGCCUUCGGCUUAACCGGAGUAGGGCAUUGGAAACUGGGAGACUUGAGUGCAGAAGAGGAGAGUGGAACGCCAUGGGUAGCGGUGAAAUGCGUAGAUAUAUGGAAGAACACCAGUGGCGAAAGCGGCUCUCUGGUCUGUAACUGACGCUGAGGUUCGAAAGCGUGGGUAGCAAACAGGAUUAGAUACCCGGGUAGUC
rnacentral:rRNA from 1 species